AAUAGAUGACGCCGUUGAAUUUUUCUCACAUGUUUAACCAUUCGUCUUAUUCAAAAAUUUAAUUUAUGUAAUUAUAAUUUAUUUUGUUAUGAGUUAUUUUAUCACUCAUAGUACUUUAAGUAUGAUUUAUAUCUUAUACAUUUACAUAAAAUUUUUGAAUAAGACGAAUGGUCAAACAUGUGAGAAAAAGUCAACGGCGUCAUCUAUU
rfam:Oryza sativa (indica cultivar-group) chromosome 9, whole genome shotgun sequence.